AUGUUUACGAAUACAGAAAACAUGUAUGCUGAUACAAAUGCAGCCAGUGAUCAGGACUUAGCUUUAAAGAUACCAGCACUACCCGACGGAAAGACUAAACAUUUCUUUGUUUCGUAUAACAGUUUAGACAAACAACGUGUAUUUGCUAUCGUUGAUGAAGUAGAGAAACGAUUCGGACUCCAGUGCGUUUUUGAUGAACGAGAUUUUCAAGGCGGGAAGGAUAUAUUAGUGAAUAUACGUGAAGGAAUGAUGAAUUCUUUGAAGGUGUUACUUUUCCUUACACCGAAUUUUCUUCAAAGCGGGUGGUGCAAAUAUGAAACAGAUGCUGCAUUUGUUACAUCGAUGGGUUGUGGAUAUAGUUGUAUUGUACCAGUACUGCUUGAAGAGUGUGAGAUACCACCAACACUUGUGACAUUGACUUACAUUGAUGCCACAAUCACAGGAAUAGAUGUGCCUGAGAAAAUAGCCUCCGCCCUGCUACGCCACGCUACUGAUGACGGUUUAUUCCCACUCAGUAUCAGGACGUGGAACAAGAUACACGAAAAUGGCUAUUGCUAUAUUAUUCCGGCGAAGCGUGAUAACUUGUGCUCGUUUAGACCGGCAAAAUAUCGUUUUGCAGUGGACAGCAAUCUGUUAGAAAAGCUGAGAAAGAAUAGGGUUGAAGUACCAGAAGAAUUGUUACAGGAAACUGUCGAUAUCUUGAAUAGAGAUUCGAUAAUGUGGUCGUAUGAUUAUCUAAGUCGUUGCAGGAACAUCAUGUGGACUUUCCUUUUGAUUCCUCUCUACUUGCUGAUAUUUCUUUUAGCUAAGAGUUCGUGGGUUUUGCGUGUAGCAACAAGGGGGAGAGAAGAAGAGCUCAGGGAAUAUGACAUUUCAUUUAUGACGUUUAUGUUGAUGCCUAUAUCAUUUUUAGCAAUUCAGCUUCCGCUCUGUUUAAUACCAAACAUCUGUUAUCGGAAGAAGCGUGAAGUAACUUUACAAGCAAAACUGUGGCGGAAGGUGGGAAAACGGUGCAUUGAAAAUAACGUUCUUCUUCUAUUUACUGGAAGAAGGAAUAAGAAACCAACUCUACAUGUGAUGCGAUAUGAUAUAGCAAGAUGCAAGGAAUACUUUGUUGGAAUCAUUAAAGCAAGGAACCUAACUCAAGUCGACCGGACACUGACACCUGAGAUGACUUCGACUUUCUUCCGGACGCACCAUAUAACAGACACAAUGUGAAGAAAGGGAAAAUGUGCAUUUGUCAAUAUCUCGAAAAUAACUUGUGAUGCAGCAGGUAAAACGGAGUGUGAAUGUGUACGGAUUGGGCCGCGAUUUGCUUAAAGACAAACGCUAACUAAAACGGUCGAGAUUUAUUCCAACUUGCCAUCGCAGACUCAACAUAAUCAACAUAAACUGUUAUCAAGUUGUUAAGUUGUAUAUUUUCAGGCAUUUGAAACAGAUUGACGUGUAUUUAAUAACAUUUGUUAUUUAGUUUAAUGUUAUAUGAACUGUCAGACCAAUCAUUUGCUAGUGUUUGUAUUCCUACUGGUCUCCAAGUUCCGUUUAAAUGUACCCUGAACUUAAAAACAGGAUUGUUCUCGUAAUUAAAGACACUUUGAUCUCA
rnacentral:misc_RNA from 1 species